GCUCCGUUUUAACCGUUCAGCUCAGUAAUGUAAGGUUUGAUAUCCACGUGAACUGGCUCACCAUAAUAACAAAAAUUAAUGAAACAUAGUUCAAAAAAUUGCUCUUUAAUUGCCCAUAAUAAUUUUAGUUGCUCACUUAUUCUUAUCGAGAAAUAUUCAAAAAACUUUUUUGAGACGCCUAGGAACUUUCAUGAGAAGCUGGAGACAUUUAAUAAUACAAAAUUUCUGAAAUAAUGCAUAAUACUGACUGCAUAAUACUUGGAAUCUGCUCCAAGGAGCGAAGAGGAGACGUCACAAAUGAGAUUAGAAUCUAUUGGCAUCAUCCAAUCCUAUUUGUGAUCAGUAAUUCUCCUACUCCUACUUUCCUAGAAGAAAGUUGUAAAGCGGUCAGGAUGUUGGGAGGUCUGUCUGCGCGAGAAUUAGUCGAAGAUCUGUUAUAUCCUAUGAUGCAAUUCUGCAAACAACAUUCCUUUGUGCAGUUCUGAUGUUCUGGUUGUGCAUUUACCAUGGUCUGAGACAGAUGGAGCACCAGGCAUACACAUGCGCGAAAAGAGUGAGACCGCAAGCACGGUAAAGUGAAACAAGCUACAUUAGUCGACGGUGUGACUUGUUUCACUUGUAGUUGAGCUGAUGUUGUGCUCUCUUGCUCACUCAUUACUCGCUACUUCCUCUCUUUGUCUAGAACUAUGAGGGCAGCACUGUUUAGCUGUGGAAGCGAACCAAUCAGAUUUCUCUACCUGCUUCAUAAUUCUAAGCCGGUUGCCCUUGCUUGGCUUACUAUCGUGAGGUACUACUAAACCAUCAUGCGGCAGAUUGGCUUUGCAUAGUAACUACAUAUACCGUUAAACGCGGAAACCAUGGAAUCACACAGUAUUGCAGUAUGGUAACCAGGUUAAUUGUCAUUUGCUGUGUUGAGUUCAGUGCAUGUAGUUAUAUGUUCAUCGAUAGGAGGUGAGUCAAAUUAUUUAAAUUAAAUAGGGUAGAUGUUCCAGUUUCCUUGCCUGACCCAAAUUUCGUGCCCUCGGAUAAAAAGAAAAAUGUUAUAUCUAAAUUGAUGAUAUAUUUUUUGUUAUUAUAUUUACCUAUUAACAUGUAAGAUUCAGGGAGGGGUACUACAUUUUUCAUAUUUUAAAAUAUAAUAGUUUUUCAAUUGAUGCUACAGCAGGAAUUGAAAAGUAAGUAUAAAUAGUAUAAGUAUAAUAAGUAGCAUGUUGUGUCAAAAAUUGUAAGAAACAGAUGCCGAAAACGCAUAUUAUGUCGUAAGAGGGUUUCAUUUAGAACUAACAACGAUAAAAAACACUAAUUAUGCAUAUUUUUAUAUUUUUAAUAUAAGUCUGGAAAUAGGGUCAGAUUUUAGAUUUUAGAACAGAUUUUAUUUCAGAGCCCUCUUGUAUUAGACCACGUGGUUGAACCUAACCUCAUUUUUAUUUAAAACAAUGGAAAAAGCGUACAUGGGAUCCACGCACGGAAAUAUGGCAAGGCACAUAAUAAUGUGCCAAGCUCCUGGAAGGGCAUGGAAUUAAGGCCAGAAACAUUUUUUUUAGAAACAUUAAAUUACUAAUUUUUAUCACGCAAAAAAUAUCUUUAAAAUCAAAAAUGUUUAAAAAAUCGAAAUAUAUUUUUAGUGCAUUAAAUGAAAAUUCUAGUAUUUAAUGAGAGUUUUGGUAAAGCAAAUAUUGGCUUUAAGGCACGGUAAUUGGGGCAUCUACCCUAGCUUGUACUGUUGAAAAAUUGAAAUAUGUAACUACUUUGUAAAAUCUAGUAAUUGUUUUAUAUAAACAUUAUUCUUAUUUUAAUACCUUUAUAUGUGUAUUAAUAAAUGAGGUAAACUUUAAAAUAUGUAUGAUGUUAAUUUAAUACAAUAAUGGGACCUA